rnacentral:lncRNA from 1 species
AUUUUAAUAAUUUUCUUAUGUAUCUGGUAUUUAAUGCUGACAGGAUUCCAGUCAAUGGAGAGGUUUCAUUGCAAGUAGCUGCAGCAAGCUAUAGUCAGCAGACUGGACCCCAACAACCUCAGCAGUUCCAGGGAUAUGGCCAGCAACCAACUUCCCAGGCACCAGCUCCUGCCUUUUCUGGUCAGCCUCAACAACUGCCUGCUCAGCCACCACAGCAGUACCAGGCGAGCAAUUAUCCUGCACAAACUUACACUGCCCAAACUUCUCAGCCUACUAAUUAUACUGUGGCUCCUGCAUCUCAACCUGGAAUGGCUCCAAGCCAACCUGGGGCCUAUCAACCAAGACCAGGUUUUACUUCACUUCCUGGAAGUACCAUGACCCCUCCUCCAAGUGGGCCUAAUCCUUAUGCACGUAACCGUCCUCCCUUUGGUCAGGGCUAUACCCAACCUGGACCUGGUUAUCGAUAAGGAGGCUCCUCUACACCAAUUAAUGUAGCUGCUAGCUAUUGGCCUCCCAAAAGACUCCAGUACUAUUUUAAUUUGUAUUGAAGAAGUUCAGAAAUUUAAAAGCAGAGCAUUUUUUAUGAUAUCAUUGUUGCUGUUAAUUGAAAGUAUAAUUUGCUGGAACACAAAGACCAAAAUGAAAGUUUUUUCCUCCCUGCUUAAAAAUGUAGCAGCUUCUUAGUUACUUUGGAACACUACUCUUACAUGUAUAAAGUGAUUGACUUGACUUUCUAGCUUCCCUUGUCCGGAGGAUAUUAAAAUGCUAGGGUGAGGUUUAGCCAUCUUACUUGGCUUUUUACUAUUAACAUGAUGUACUAAAGUAGAGCCCUUUGAGAAUACAAGAUAUUAUGUAUAAAAUGUAACACUGAUAGGUUAAUAAAGAUGAUUGAAUCCAU